AAGACUAUGCUUUCGGGGAUCGUUUCUACAGUUUGUUACUAGAGAGGUUUCUCUGAUUGUGUAGAGCACCGGAAACCAAGAGGAGGAGGCACAGAGUUCUCUCCUGAGCAUGAAGCCGCCUCUGGAUGUUGCUUCACUGCAAUUGCCAUUUGCCACUGAUGAGCAUUCUUCUCUUCCUCUGGGGAGUAAGAGGGAGAAGACGCAGUCUUGAAUGGU
rnacentral:snoRNA from 1 species